CCCCCUUGCAGGAGCAUCUUGGGGGUGAGCUGAGCCCCACUUGGGGGUCAGAGCUGUGGGGCCCAGGGGGUCCCGCCCAGCGCUGUUCGAGCCCCGCCCUUUCCUCGCAGACCCCGCCCCUUUUCCUUCCGAGCCCCGCCCCCUUUUUUUGGACGUUGUUUCCCUUUUUCCCCCAAAGUUUUGUUUUACAUUAAAAUGGUCGAAAAACGGA